rnacentral:tRNA from 1 species
GCGCCCGUAGCUCAGUUGGAUAGAGCGCUUGCCUCCGGAGCAAGAGGCCGCAAGUUCGAAUCUUGCCGGGCGUACCC